GCUUGAGCAUACUAACAAUUAAUAACAUUAAAUACAACUACUGAAUAAAUGAGUGUUUCCGCAUUUGAGUUGGACAACAGACCAGUAAGUGGGGUGGGGCCUGUCUCUCACCUUUCACGGCCCAAGACCCUGAGCCUGGCUAACUCGCUGCUCUGCCCGAACCGCAGGCUGCCUGGGCCGGGGACGCGCGGAGGGGCCCCCCGCAGAGGGCGGGCUCAGCCGGGCAGAGCUCUCGGGGGCGCCCCGCGCCCAGCCCCGCCGGCUCCUGCUCUCCCCGAGCACGCGGCGUUAGCUAAUCUUCUCAGGGACUGCCGAGGCCCUUUCUCCGCCAAACCGCAGGGAGGGAACAGCCCGAGAAGGGAGGGGGCUGGGAAGGGUUUGUUGUUGCUUUUUCUGAAUUAAAAGAAAACAGGGACUAGAGCAAGGAAGAGAGCGAAGUUCAAGGGAGAAUCUGGCAAGUCACCUUGGGCAGCCCCUGGACCGCCGCCAGAGCUCUCUUGGAGAGGGUGAGGACGCCGAGCGUGUGAUGAGCGCCUAACAUUUUCAGAAUAAAGUACCAGACAGGGUACCAGGCCCUGGCCAUGACCACUUCCAGAAUAAUCCCAGGAAUGGAGUGGAGUGGCAAAUCCAGGUGCAGGAGUCCGCAUCCCACUUGCCUCCUGGCUCCACCUGCCUCAGACAGACCCAAGAAAGAAAACAGUGGCUAUGAUGUCUGAGGCUGCUGCGAUGGGUGCUCUCAUAGGAUGAAAUUGCUUGGAAAGUUUGAACAAAAGUGGUUUAGCCAGUUUGGAU
rnacentral:lncRNA from 1 species